UUCGCAAUGCCCGAAAGGGUGACGAAGCGACGCCGCGUGUGGGAAGAAGGCCUUCGGGUUGUAAACCACUGUCGGGAGUUAAGAAAUACAAGGAUAUUAAUAGUGUCUUUGUUUGACUAAGGCUCCGGAGGAAGCCACGGCUAACUCUGUGCCAGCAGCCGCGGUAAUACAGAGGCGGCAAGCGUUGUUCGGAAUUAUUGGGCGUAAAGAGCACGUAGGCGGCUAUGUAAGUCGGUUGUGAAAGCCUUCCGCUCAACGGAAGAACAGCAUCCGAUACUACAUGGCUUGAGUGCGGGAGGGGAGAGUGGAACUUCUGGUGGAGCGGUGAAAUGCGUAGAUAUCAGAAGGAACGCCGGCGGCGAAAGCGGCUCUCUGGCCCAUAACUGACGCUGAGUGUGCGAAAGCUAGGGGAGCAAACGGGAUUAGAUACCCCGGUAGUCCUAGCCGUAAACGAUGGGCACUAAGUAGAGGGGUU
rnacentral:rRNA from 1 species